rnacentral:tRNA from 1 species
GCGGGUAUAGUUUAGNGGAAAA